UUGGGGGCUCCAGGCGUAGGUGACCAACAGAGACCUCCAGUGGAGCCCCUCAGAGACCUGAUGAGAGUUUGUGUGUACGGUAACAGGUGUUGGGAAAUGUCCUGAAUAUGAAAUAGGAAUGCAGGAAACAAAAUGAGCCCUUGUGUAAUGCUGACCCCUCACAUCAACUGCAGUGGAGACACCUCUGUGUGCAGACAGAGUUGUUCCUAUUGUGUGGGCCAGUGGAAAACAGGUGUGGCCGAUGAAGGGCCAGGUUAGACAGUUGUCAAACAGGAGCAGAAGUGACUCUCCAGGUAGCCUAAUAUAAAUAUGAGAAGCAAAGUAGUCAAGUGCCUGCUGUGACUGCAGAGGCAAGGAUAGGUUGGGAUCACAAUAACUGGGGUGGAGAUGCUUGGGAUUCAGCUGCUGUUGAGCGUGGUUCAGAGGGGGAAGUGUUUGCUGAAGCACAACAAGUAACAGGAGGGAAAGGGGAAGGUGACCCCGAUGGUUAUCCCAUCAGGCCUGAUGUGGUGGAGGAUUUUACUCAGACUGAACUUCCUGGUGUUAUGGAGAGGUUUAAAGUAAAGGCCAGAGAGUCUGUGAUCUCCUGGACAGUUGGGCUGCAUGACCUGGGAGCCUCUGGGAUCAGAUUGGACUGGGCAGACAGGGAGCAGUUUGUCCUGGGGAGCUGGGCUGGGUUUGUUCAGGAUGCCUUCGGAGGCAGGGCUGGAGAGGCUCCUUUGUUGGCUGUAGUGGUGGAAGGUUGUCCCAGGAGGACUGGAGCCCUUCGACCUCCUGUUCCCCCCGUGAGCCCCGACGGGACCGUGCACUUGGCAAUGGAGGGCCCCCCAUUGCUGAGUCAGCGGUUCCGGGGGCCGGCAGGGAUGGGAUCAGGAUGCCGAGCUCCAGCCCAGGCAGGGCAGGAAAUGGAGCAGCCACUGAAAGAAGCGAAGGCAGAGUGAGAUGAAGGCCGAGCUCCAGCACAAGGGUGGGUGAGAAAAGCCCAUGGCCCUCAGGUGGAGCUUUGAAUUCCUUGGAAAAAUGCAUCUUGUCAAAGGGCUCAGGCCCUUGUGGGUGCUGGAGUGGAGGCCUCUUCAACUGAUGGUCAGCCUAAAAAGGUGCAAGGGCAGCAAGUUUUGACAAUAGGAUGAGGUGGCAAACAAGGUGAAGUGGUACAGAGAAAAGCUGAGCUUCAGAUUGGUCCUGUGCCAGAGCAGCCUUGUGGAGUGCUUAUUGCUGUGCCUGGCUGUGGAAGGGCAGUGUAUCCCAUAAAUCUGUAUCCCGUGCUGUUGGCUUGUGCUUGUUUCAACUGUUGCUGUUAUUCUGUGACCGGGGAGGAGUUGUUUCCUUGAGUGCCCUGCCUGUCAGCACAGCACCAGGUCUGUUCAGCAGCUGGAGACCGGGCAGGUUUGGGGGCUGUGAUGUCCCAGCUCCCUUUGCCAUCCCUGCUGAAGGGUGGGGGUUGCACAGAGCCAGCAGCGUCCAGCUGGAGGAUCCAGGAGGAUGCAGCUCUGCUGUUCUGGGAGGGACACUGGGCUGGUCCAAGUGUGGCAAGAAGAACAAGUGGACCGUGAAGGUUUGGAGCAGUCUAGAAGGUUCCUCGUGCCCAAAGGAUCCUGGCAAGUGAAGUACUGGAAGAGCACAGAAUAAUGAAAAGUGCCUCAGUUCUCCUGAAGCUCAACUUUGUAAAAUAUUCAUGAAGAUAAAAUCCUACUGUACUGAGCUGUUGGGUCCCAAAUAGUCUUGGAGGGAGAGGCAGAAACUCCCACUGCUGCUGGGGCUGAACUGCUUGCAGUGCCCAGGUAGGACUCGGCCCUGAUGUCUGAGUGCUCUCCAGUCCCCCAGGAUGGAUCCCAACUGUCAGCCCCCGGCUCCAUAACUUGAGGAGAGGGUGUUCCUGAAAGCCCAGCUGCUGUGUUGGGGAUCCUGUGUGCACCUCUUGCUCUGGCCUGUUGUGAAUGUAUUUGUGUUGCAGCUCAAUAAAGUCACAAUAAAGUG